AUUUUUUUGAGUUGAGCGUCUAUUUACAUGUUUAUUCCUUUUAAAAGUGGUUUUUCAGUGUUUUUAAAGUCAGAUCAAAACAUUUCUGAAGUCAAAAUCAAAAUAUUAGUCCAGGAGUAAUUGUUUAAAAUGCCUCAAAGGAGCAUUGGUGCUUAUUAACCUGAUCGAGUCAGUUAAG